UGAGUGUGUAAGAGGUCUUGGCUUUUGAGUUGUAUGUAUUUGGUUAGCAUGUUUUGGGUGGUUUACUUGUAUGAUAUUUUGGUGAUAGUAUUUUAGGGGAUAAUACUGUUAGAGUAGCCCUUUGUGAAAGUUUUUGUCAAAUGUACUUCAAGAGUAUGAGUGUCCAAAGAGGAUGGCUUAUAACCUAGGUGUAUUUUUUUGGAGUUCCUAACUCUGUAUAUUUCUUGGAAAUUAAACAUGACUCCAAACCUCGUGGUUAUAUUUUCCUAUGUCUAUAUGUUGGUAUAUGUUUUACUUUUGUUUCAUGCAUGAAGAUCUCUAUGUUUUUUCAAAUGCAGUUUUGUAGAGUAUUUUGAGUCAAUUGUUUAGUUUGGUUCUUUCAAUUUAAUGUUCUUUUUAGAGUUAUUUUGAAUAAAUGGUUCUUUGAUUAAAUAAGGUGUUUAUGAUUUCAUUUUCAUGAUUAACCAACUAUUUUGUGUAGUUUUUUUAUUGCUUCAUUGGCUUAACGCAAUGCUGAAUUUUGGUAAAAAAAACAACAUGACUCUUAUGCUGUAUUUUAGUCAUAUAUAGAGUUGUAGAUGUCUAAAUGGAAUUAAAUCAGUUGCAAAUGAAAGCUAACAUCUAUAGCUAAAAAUUUCAUGAACCCAAUUUAAAUAUUACAUUUGUGAAAGUGCAAGUUAAAUAAGAACUAGAGCCAUUUUGCAUAACAAAUGUGUUUAUUUAACAAUGGAGCGCAUUGUCACCAUAAUCUGCUCAUUUCGCCUAGUCAUACACCACCAUUUUUUAUCUCGAGUAGUGCAAUGCACCUAGAAUUAGGUAAAUGCAUUAGCAGAUGCUCCAAAGCCCUAUUUAAGCUAAAAUAUCAAAUUUUGGAUACCUCGGAGAGA
rnacentral:lncRNA from 1 species